AGUGAACGCUGGCGGUAGGCCUAACACAUGCAAGUCGAACGGCAGCACAGUAAGAGCUUGCUCUUACGGGUGGCGAGUGGCGGACGGGUGAGGAAUACAUCGGAAUCUACUUUUUCGUGGGGGAUAACGUAGGGAAACUUACGCUAAUACCGCAUACGACCUACGGGUGAAAGCAGGGGAUCUUCGGACCUUGCGCGAUUGAAUGAGCCGCUGUCGGAUUAGCUAGUUGGCGGGGUAAAGGCCCACCAAGGCGACGAUCCGUAGCUGGUCGGAGAGGAUGAUCAGCCACACUGGAACUGAAACACGGUCCAGACUCCUACGUGAGGCAGCAGUGGGGAAUAUUGGACAAUGGGCGCAAGCCUGAUCCAGCCAGACCGCGUGGGUGAAGAAGGCCUUCGGGUUGUAAAGCCCUUUUGUUGGGAAAGAAAAGCAGCAGGUUAAUACCCCGCUGUUCUGACGGUACCCAAAGAAUAAGCACCGGCUAACUUCGUG
rnacentral:rRNA from 1 species